CUACGGGUGGCACCAGUGAGGAAUAUCGCACAAUGGGGGGAACCCUGAUGCAGCAACGCCGCGUGGAGGAUGACGCAUUUCGGUGUGUAAACUCCUUUUAUAUGUCAAGAAAAUGACGGUAGCAUAUGAAUAAGCACCGGCUAACUCCGUGCCAGCAGCCGCGGUAAUACGGAGGGUGCAAGCGUUACUCGGAAUCACUGGGCGUAAAGGACGCGUAGGCGGGUUGGAAAGUCAGGUGUGAAAUCCUACAGCUUAACUGUAGAACUGCACUUGAAACUUCUAAUCUAGAGUAUGGGAGGGGGAGAUGGAAUUAGUGGUGUAGGGGUAAAAUCCGUAGAUAUCACUAGGAAUACCUAAAGCGAAGGCGAUCUCCUGGAACAUUACUGACGCUAAGGCGUGAAAGCGUGGGGAGCAAACAGGAUUAGAUACCCUCGUAGUC
rnacentral:rRNA from 1 species